rnacentral:rRNA from 1 species
AGAGUUUGAUCCUGGCUCAGGAUUAACGCUAGCGGCAGGCCUAAUACAUGCAAGUCGAACGGCAGCACGGGUAGCAAUACCUGGUGGCGAGUGGCGCACGGGUGCGUAACACGUAUGCAAUCUACCUUUAACUGGGGAAUAACCCCUCGAAAGAGGGGCUAAUACCGCAUAACACUCCGGAGGGACAUCCCUCUGAAGUCAAAUCUACGGAGGUUAAAGAUGAACAUGCGUCCGAUUAGCUAGUUGGCGGGGUAACGGCCCACCAAGGCAACGAUCGGUAGGGGAUCUGAGAGGAUGAUCCCCCACACUGGUACUGAGACACGGACCAGACUCCUACGGGAGGCAGCAGUAAGGAAUAUUGGACAAUGGGCGCAAGCCUGAUCCAGCCAUGCCGCGUGCAGGAUGAAAGUGCUAUGCACUGUAAACUGCUUUUACCAGGGAAAAAACCCUCCGAUUCUUCGGAGGCUGAUUGUACUUGGAGAAUAAGGGACGGCUAACUUCGUGCCAGCAGCCGCGGUAAU